GGCGCGGUGGUGAAGUAGCUAACACAGCUGUUUGCAGAACAGCCAUUCAGGGGUGCAAGUCCCCUUCGCGCCUCAA
rnacentral:tRNA from 1 species